ACACGUAGGGAGCAAGCGUUGUCCGGAUUUAUUGGGCGUAAAGAGCUCGUAGGCGGUUUUGUAAGUCGGAUGUGAAAACUCAGGGCUCAACCCGGAGACGCCAUCCGAUACUGCAAUGACUAGAGUCCGGUAGGGGAGCAUGGAAUUCCUGGUGUAGCGGUGGAAUGCGCAGAUAUCAGGAGGAACACCAGUGGCGAAGGCGGUGCUCUGGGCCGGUACUGACGCUGAGGAGCGAAAGCAUGGGGAGCAAACAGGAUUAGAUACCCCGGUAGUCC
rnacentral:rRNA from 1 species